rnacentral:rRNA from 1 species
UACAGAGGUCUCAAGCGUUGUUCGGAUUCAUUGGGCGUAAAGGGUGCGUAGGCGGCGCGGUAAGUCGGGUGUGAAAUCUCGGGGCUUAACUCCGAAACUGCAUUCGAUACUGUCGUGCUUGAGGACUGGAGAGGGGACUGGAAUUUACGGUGUAGCGGUGAAAUGCGUAGAUAUCGUAAGGAAGACCAGUGGCGAAGGCGGGUCUCUGGACAGUUCCUGACGCUGAGGCACGAAGGCCAGGGGAGCAAACGGG